AACUUUUGCUGGUUUCUAUUUAGCUACUAAUUAGAUGAUUCUUUUUACUUUUCUCAUUUCAGGUAGGUUUAUUAGCAUCUCCAGGGACAGUUGAAAGCCUCGUUGAUCAUUUUCGUUGGAUUUUUGGCCGCUUUGCAGGUAGGUUUAUUAGCGCAUCCAGGGACAUUUGAAAGCAUUGCUGAUCAUUUUCGUUGGAUUUUUGGCCGCUUUGCAGGUGAGUGUAUAUUGUGAACUUUUGCUAGUUUUUAUUUAGCUACUAAUUAGAUGAUUCUUUGUACUUUUCUCGUUUCAGGUAGGUUUAUUAGCGCAUCCAGGGACAUUUGAAAGCAUUGCUGAUCAUCUUCGUUGGAUUUUUGGCCGCUUUGCAGGUAGGUUUAUUAGCGCAUCCAGGGACAGUUAAAAGCAUUGCUGAUCAUCUUCGUUGGAUUUUUAGCCGUUUUGCAGGUGAGUGUAUAUUGUGUAAGGUUGUUUUCUCAUUUUAGUAUACGGCUACGCUCGUUGGCGUGGUUAUGCUGGACGUUGUGGAGCUGGUACGCCAGCUCGGUGACAUCAUUGCUGGA
rnacentral:sRNA from 1 species